rnacentral:rRNA from 1 species
GCACGGAGUUAGCCGGUGCUUUCUUGCGAGGUACCGUCAUUUUUUUCUUCCCUCCCGACAGGGCUUUACAACCCGAAGGCCUUCUUCACCCACGCGGCAUGGCUGGAUCAGGCUUUCGCCCAUUGUCCAAUAUUCCCCACUGCUGCCUCCCGUAGGAGUCUGGGCCGUGUCUCAGUCCCAGUGUGGCUGAUCGUCCUCUCAGACCAGCUACCGAUCGUACCCUUGGUGAGCCGUUACCUCACCAACUAGGAUUAAAUAAUCGGCCGCGGGCCGUUCCAAAGGCGCCCGAAGGCUUUUAGCCGUAGCCAUAUGCGGUAUUAGCCCGAGUUUCCUCGGGUUAUCCCCCACCUCAGGGUACGUGACCCACGUGUUACUCACCCGUUCGCCACUCGUGCCCGAAGGCACGCGUUCGACUUGCAUGUGUUAAGCCUGCCGCCAGCGUUCGCU